AGUUCGGAUUGAAGGCUGAAAUUCGCCUUCAUGAAGCCGGAAUUGCUAGUAAUGGCAGGUCAGCAUACUGCCGUGAAUACGUUCCCGGGCCUUGUACACACCGCCCGUCACACCAUGAGAGUUGGGAAUACCCGAAGCCUGUGAGCUAACUUAUAGAGGCAGCAGUCGAAGGUAGAAUCAAUGAUUGGGGUGAAGUCGUAACAAGGUAGC
rnacentral:rRNA from 1 species